GUGUCACUUUAGUAGCACACAGACUAAAAUUGGAAUGAUACAGAGAAAAUUAGCAUAGAUCCUGUGCCAGAAUGGUAUAUAAAUUUAUGAAGCAUUCUGUAUUUUU
rnacentral:snRNA from 1 species